GACGAACGCUGGCGGCGUGCCUAAUACAUGCAAGUAGAACGCUGAAGGAGGAGCUUGCUUCUCUGGAUGAGUUGCGAACGGGUGAGUAACGCGUAGGUAACCUGCCUGGUAGCGGGGGAUAACUAUUGGAAACGAUAGCUAAUACCGCAUAAUAGUAGAUGUUGCAUGACAUUUGCUUAAAAGGUGCAAUUGCAUCACUACCAGAUGGACCUGCGUUGUAUUAGCUAGUUGGUGAGGUAACGGCUCACCAAGGCGACGAUACAUAGCCGACCUGAGAGGGUGGUCGGCCACACUGGGACUGAGACACGGCCCAGACUCCUACGGGAGGCAGCAGUAGGGAAUCUUCGGCAUUGGACGGAAGUCUGACCGAGCAACGCCGCGUGAGUGAAGAAGGUUUUCGGAUCGUAAAGCUCUGUUGUAAGAGAAGAACGAGUGUGAGAGUGGAAAGUUCACACUGUGACGGUAUCUUACCAGAAAGGGACGGCUAACUACGUG
rnacentral:rRNA from 1 species